AUUGUUUACUCUUGCAAUCAACAUACCUAUGCCAGACUUUGACUGCACAGUGAAAGGAAAAGGAGCUGUGGAGCUCUCACUUCAGAGACCAGAUGCAUUGCUAAUAUUAAAGCUUCAGGGUGAAGUUCUUGGCCCAGAAGUUAAGGACAUAAGUGCUGAUCCAGGUUAAUAGCGAAUUCAGCAAUCAGUUUGUCCUGCCAAAGACUCUGAAUGCGAUAUGUUACUGCCACUAGGAACUUCGGUGGCUGGUACAGAGACAAGUGGUAAAAACGCACAUUUUGGUAGAAAGAACCUUAAACUGGAUAUGUGGAUUAUGAAUUCAGAGAAGACUGAAUUGCACUGUUGUCCUUAUCUCUCACUCUUGGAUUAUUUACAUGAAAUUGCUGACCUAUGUCUUCUCACGUUGUGAAAGCGACAAACGACCGAGCGAGAAGGGAAAGGAGCAAUGCGGGACAAACAGACACCUCGGCGAAGACUGGUGGCCAUCCCAGUGCUGCGCUCUGGCGGUGCAGCGCAGGCGGGCUCUUCCUCUGGGAGCCAGAAAAUUGCCUCACAGUCUUACAGAUACGCAUCUUCAUGUAUCUUCUCUGAAAGCAAGUUUAUUCAAACCAUAUUUCAAAUUUAAAUGUGUCUUUGC
rnacentral:lncRNA from 1 species